rnacentral:lncRNA from 10 species
CGAGACCAGCCAUGGCCAACCUGGCAAAACCCCAUGUCUACUAAAAAUACAAAAAUUAGCUGGGCAUGGUGACGGCUGCAUGUAAUCCCAACUACUUGGGAGUCUGAGGCAGGAGAAUCGCUUGAACCUGAGAGGCGGAGGUUGCAGUGAGCUGAGAUGCGCCAUUGCACUCCAGCCUGGGCAACGACAAGAGUGAAAUUCCAUCUAAAAAAAAAAAAAUUCUUUCUAGAUUUUCUAUUUCAAAGCUUCAGCUGAGUGGCUGACAUU